GACGAACGCUGGCGGCGUGCCUAAUACAUGCAAGUCGAGCGAACAGUUGCUGGUGUUUCCACCGUAAAAAUUGAGCGGGGAACGGGUGAGUAACAUGUAAAAACCCUGUCUCAUAGUCGGGGACAUCUAGUGGAAACGAGAGCUAAUAGCGGAUAAUAUCAUUAACUACGUGUUUGAUGUGUAAAAGUGUGUUUUGCUAACACUUAGAUAUGGCUUUGCGGUGCAUUAGCUAGUUGGUGGGGUAAAGGCCUACCAAGGCGACGAUGCAUAGCCGACCUGAGAGGGUGAUCGGCCACACUGGAACUGAGACACGGCCCAGACUCCUACGGGAGGCAGCAGUAGGGAAUCUUCCGCAAUGGGCGAAAGCCUGACGGAGCAACGCCGCGUGAGUGAUGAAGGAUUUCGGUUCGUAAAGCUCUGUUGUUAGGGAAGAAUGAUUGUGUAGUAACCAAACACCGUAGAGACGGUACCUAACCAGAAAGCCACGGCUAACUACGUG
rnacentral:rRNA from 1 species